AUUCGCAUUCUCGAUCCCUCCCACAGGGGCCACCAGGGCCGCGGACCUGCUGCGCGAGGAGCUGUCGCCGUAACUUCUGCCGCUCCCGGAUCUCCUGCAAGCGGCUAUCCAUGUUCCAACUCCUGCUUUUCACUAUCCCGAGUACUUGUCAAUCUCCAGUGAACUCUUAUCCAACCUUUCUUCCGAGUCUGUGGAACAAAAUUCACCGGGAGCUUACGAACAGAGUAUCCUCAUAGCUUUCCUCAGUAGAGACUUCCGGCGCGGCCGGAAUUGGCUCGCUUGGCCCGGAAGUCCCGCCUCCUUCUGGACGCUUGCUAUGUGACGCCACUUGGAAGGGACCCAGUAAGGGAUCUGUUGCGCCACAGGGGUCUCCAGGGCCCUCGCAGGUUGGGGUGGUCUGAGCUAGUCUGAAGGAGGACAGUCAGCUGACUUCUCCUUUAUCUCUCUUUCCCAGGAUAGCAGGUUCCCUUGGUGUAUUACAGUUUCUGAAGUGUUGAUUCCCUUUUCAAUUGAUUCCACAGAUGACAGUCCUGACGUUUAAAAAAUUGCCAGAUAACCUUUAAUUUUUUUUUUUUUUAACAGAACACAAACUUAAGCCAGAUUGCCUAGGAUUGAACCUUGGCCUCUCACUUCCUAGCCGAGUGGCCUUGGCUAGUUAACCACCUUCGUGAGCCUCAGUUUUCUCAUCUGUAAAAUGGGAGUCAUAAGUGUCUACCUCACAGAGCUGUGAUUGAAAGGAUAAAUAGCACCUUGCACAUAGCGGUGUAGAAGUGCUUGUUAUUGUUAAUAUUUUAUUUACCUUCACGCAGGUAACAGCCACAACAUCUGCCCACUCUUCCCCACACCUUACUGUCCCUUGAAAUGUUUCCCAUUUUACUAUAGUAUGCAUUUUUUGGCUACUUCCCUUUAGGGAAAUGAGUGUGUGACAGUAAAGUGUGUCUUGGUUUAUGUCCUAGGAGUCAGAAGCUAAGGGACUCAUUUUUGUGCUUGUACAUUUGUCUUAACUGAAAAUAACCCAAGGAUAAGGAAACAAAUAGCUUCCUGAAAUUACUCGGAUUGCGGGGGUGAGGGGUGAGGGCUGGGGGGUGGUGAUUCUGUCUUCAUAGGAUGGCAGCAAAGGCCAAAGUCUUAUUUGAGUUAUUACCAUUAUUAUUCACCACACUUGCCAUCUUAUUUCAAGCCUACAGUGGCGGAAGUGGAGUAAGACAUCAUGUUGCCUCAAGUUUAAUUGGAAAUCGCGUGCCUUGUGAAGAAUGGACACUCAGUAGAUGCUUAUUGAUGAACCUGUUGGUUGAGGAUAACUCACUAACUUUUCUGAGCUUUGUUGGAAAAACUAGACAGGGGUCUCACUAUGUGAUGCAGGAUGAUCUCAAACUCCCUGGCCUCAAGCGAUCCUCCUGCCUUGGUCUCCUAAAA
rnacentral:lncRNA from 1 species